rnacentral:rRNA from 1 species
GAUGAACGCUAGCGGCAGGCUUAAUACAUGCAAGUCGAGGGGCAGCAUGAAUGUAGCAAUACAUUUGAUGGCGACCGGCAAACGGGUGCGGAACACGUACACAACCUUCCUAUAAGUGGGGAAUAGCCCAGAGAAAUUUGGAUUAAUACCCCGUAACAUAAUGAUGUGGCAUCACAUUAUUAUUAUAGCUUCGGCGCUUAUUGAUGGGUGUGCGGCUGAUUAGAUAGUUGGCGGGGUAACGGCCCACCAAGUCUACGAUCAGUAGCUGAUGUGAAAGCAUGAGCAGCCAGACGGGCACUGAGACACGGGCCCGACUCCGACGGGAGGCAGCAGUAAGGAAUAUUGGUCAAUGGACGCAAGUCUGAACCAGCCAUGCCGCGUGAAGGAUUAAGGUCCUCUGGAUUGUAAACUUCUUUUAUCUGGGACGAAAAAAGGCUAUUCUUAGUCACUUGACGGUACCAGAUGAAUAAGCACCGGCUAACUCCGUGCCAGCCGCCGCGGUAAAAC